rnacentral:misc_RNA from 1 species
AAGUCGUAACAAGGUCUCCGUUGGUGAACCAGCGGAGGGAUCAUUACUGAGUUCUACAAAAACUCCCAACCCUUUGUGGACCUUACCGUCGUUGCCUCGGCGCUGAGCGGCGGCUACCCGGGAGCUACCCUGUAGAUCACCUACCCUGUAGCUACCCUGUAGUUGUACUUUACGCUCCGCCGGUGGACUACCAAACUCUGUUUUUAAUGGUGUAUCUCUGAAAACAAAAACAAAAUAAGUUAAAA